rnacentral:rRNA from 1 species
CCAAUAGCGUAUAUUAAAGUUGUUGCAGUUAAAAAGCUCGUAGUUGAAUUUCGGGGUUAGUAGGUUGGUCAUGCCUCUGGUAUGUACUGGUGUUACUGAUUCCUACCUUCUGACGAACCAUCAUGUCAUUAAUUUGGUGUGGUGGGGAAUCAGGACUGUUACUUUGAAAAAAUUAGAGUGUUUAAAGCAGGCUCGCGCUUGAAUACAUUAGCAUGGAAUAAUGAAAUAGGACGUUGACCCUAUUUUGUUGGUUUCUAGGAUUGACGUAAUGAUUAAUAGGGAUAGUUGGGGGCAUUAGUAUUCAAUUGUCAGAGGUGAAAUUCUUGGAUUUAUUGAAGACUAACUACUGCGAAAGCAUUUGCCAAGGAUGUUUUCAUUAAUCAAGAACGAAAGUUAGGGGAUCGAAGACGAUCAGAUACCGUCGUAGUCUUAACCAUAAACUAUGCCGACUAGGGAUCGGAUGAUGUUAAUUUUUUAAUGACUCAUUCGGCGCCUUACG